rnacentral:lncRNA from 1 species
GUAUGUUUCUUAUAUGUCAUGUUAUUCCCACUCAUACUUCAUUUUAGUAUUUUUAUUAGAAUAUAGAUGAUUCAUUGUGUAUUGUAAAGCCUACCCUAGUUCUGAGACACCAUGUAUGUUAUUAACUUAUUUAUAUUCAAUAGUUUUCUAGACGUUUCCAUCAACUGGGUGUUAACAUUAUCUUAAAGUUUGGAUUAUUCUGUUUUUUUCUACAAUAUUCUUUUCUAUUCUUGGUGAUACAUAAAAGUGCUGGAACCUUCCAAGGUAAUUUAAAUAGAAAGCUGUCUGAGGACAAGGCAAAACCUAAGAAAGUUCUUAUUGAAAAAAACUUUUCUGUACUUCUAAAUAACAAAAUAAUACCAAUUUAGACAUUUAACAGUUGAUGGAUUUAUAUCAGAACUGUAGAUUAUGAACUUGAGUAACAAGUAAUUGUUACCUGUAGACAUAACAAUAGUACGUUAUCAUAUUAUCAUGGGAAAAGAUAUUAUCCUGUACAGACAGUUACUUUAGAAAUUGACUUUAAUAAUAAUGGAUGGGCAUGCGACAAAAUAUGGAGUGGAGUCUUGGGGUGGAGUCAUGGAGUGAGAUUUUGGAGUGACCUUGUAGUGAGAAAAUCGAGUGAGAUUUUGGAGAAAGUGGUGGAAACAGAAUGUUGUUGGAAACAGCGAAGCUGCUGCUGCUGAUGAUGACGAUAUAUUUUGUAGUACAUUUUUAUAAUGAAGUACAUGGGAAAUCUGCUGAUAUUAUUUUGCGAAUGUUUUUUCAUGCAACUGAUGAUGUUACUAGCACUGAUGAUGAUGAUAUGUUGUUAUUUUUUUAACUGAGAAAGGGAGGGAAAAGAAUCACACUUAGUUAUGCCACCACUAUCACCACAACCACAACAAUCGUCAUCAUCUACAUUUUAUCACCACCACUACUUUCAUCAGCAUCACACUAUCAACACAACCAUAACGACAAUUAUCAUCAUUACAAACACUUUCAUCACCAGCAGCACCACCAUCAUCAAGAUCAUAGUCACCAGGACCAUCAUCAAUAUCACCAUCAUCAUCACCACCAACAACAACGUCAAAUAAUCAUCGUUAUCAUUGUCAUCGUUAUCAUCAAUAACAUCAUCAUCACAAACACCACUGUUGUCAAUAUUAUCAUCACUAUCAUCAUCAUCUGUCAUUUUGUUUUUGCUGAUGAACAAGCCUUAGGUGAAAAACAGAUUUCGACGGAAGAUAUCGGUUUGUUGUUGUUAUUGUUGUUGAUGAUGACUAUAGGUCUAUGUAAAGGUUAUAACACAUUAAA